ensembl:lncRNA
CAUUAUGGGACAUUAAACGUGUAGAGGCAGAGGUGAGAAAAUGUAGCGUUAUUUGUGGCGUAAAUGCUCGCGCAUCUACGCAAUUUCCUUGUGUGGGAGAGAGACAAACAGACCUUCUGUUCUCUAAUAGACAGCUCACGUCACACCAACCAGAUGUCUGAUAUUCCGUGCAGGAAAGGUUAGAGCAGGUAGUUUGAAGUUUUUUGUGUAGGCUCUAUCUACCGGGACAGCUCACCGGCGCCGCAGACAACAUUUAAUUCCAGCCAUCGUGUAAAGGUCAUCAGCGAUCAUCUCCUAUGUUUGAAACAAUUGUAGUGAACAUGACGAGUUUGAAGGCGUUCACCGAGCCGUUUGGGAGAGUGGCUUCUGAACCGGUGGAGGACACUGACCCCAGCAGCUUCAUUACAGAUAUGUCUCUGAGGUCACAUUACCCCAUUCAGGACACUGAUCCACAAGCUAUCAGAGAUCCUGUAACCCUACAGCUCAGCUCUGGUCCCCCUGGAUAUUUGUCAUCAGCGGUGGACAGGAUACGACAACCUGUGGAAAAUGACAGUAGUGAAUUUAUUCCAUCAUCUUCAGUUUCAUCAGGUAUGUGCAAAUAUAAGAAUACUACAGUUCCCACUGUACACAACUGAAGCAUCGCAAUGGAGAAUGACAUCGGGAGGGUGGGGGGUUAGGGGGUGUGCCCAAAACAUGAAUCCAUAUUCAGAAAUGCAGGGAAAACAAAUAACCAUUGCUAAUGGUUGCCUGUUACAUUACAGUACAUAUUUCACUUACCAAAUAAACAGAGUAAGGAGACAUGACUGAGGACGAUG